rnacentral:lncRNA from 1 species
GUCCCUCGUGUUUUAAUUGGUGCAAAUCGAUCCCUUAAUUUAUUAUAUCGGUGCACUAAUCAUCCCCAUCCUAACACUUUUUGCUACAAUAUUUGGUCAGGUACAUCAUUUUAGUAAGCAUUUUUACCGUUAUCGUUUUGUCAUUGUAUAGGUUAGACAUAGAUUUUUAUACAUGUACAUAUUGAAGUCUGCACUCAGGUCGUCCAUGCUCUAGCUUCGCCGGAUCCCACCACCGCCGGAUCCCG